UACGUAGGGUGCAAGCGUUAAUCGGAAUCACUGGGCGUAAAGCGCACGUAGGCGGCGUCUUAAGUCAGUGGUGAAAUCCUGGAGCUCAACUCCAGAACUGCCUUUGAUACUGAAGAUCUUGAGUUCGGGAGAGGUGAGUGGAACUGCGAGUGUAGAGGUGAAAUUCGUAGAUAUUCGCAAGAACACCAGUGGCGAAGGCGGCUCACUGGCCCGAUACUGACGCCGAGGUGCGAAAGCGUGGGGAGCAAACAGG
rnacentral:rRNA from 1 species